CGCACGGGUGAGUAAUAUAUAGCUAACCUGCCCUUUAGUGGGGGNCAACAGUUGGAAACGACUGCUAAUACCCCAUACUCCUUCUUACUCUAAGGUAAGUUGGGAAAGAUUUAUCGCUAAAGGAUGGGGCUUUAUUGUAUCAGCUAGUUGGUGGGGUAAUGGCCUACCAAGGCAAUGACGCAUACCUGGUCUGAGAGGAUGAUCAGGCACACUGGAACUGAGACACGGUCCAGACUCCUACGGGAGGCAGCAGUGGGGAAUAUUGCACAAUGGAGGAAACUCUGAUGCAGCAACGCCGCGUGGAGGAUGACGCAUUUCGGUGUGUAAACUCCUUUUAUAAGGGAAGAUAAUGACGGUACCUUAUGAAUAAGCACCGGCUAACUCCGUGCCAGCAGCCGCGGUAAUACGGAGGGUGCAAGCGUUACUCGGAAUCACUGGGCGUAAAGGAUGCGUAGGCUGGAAAUCAAGUCGAGAGUGAAAUCCAACGGCUCAACCGUUGAACUGCUCUCGAAACUGGUUACCUAGAAUAUGGGAGAGGUAGAUGGAAUUAGUGGUGUAGGGGUAAAAUCCGUAGAUAUCACUANGAAUACCGAUUGCGAAGGCGAUCUACUGGAACAUUAUUGACGCUGAGGCAUGAAAGCGUGGGGAGCAAACAGGAUUANAUACCCUGGUAGUCCACGCCCUAAACGAUGCACACUANUUGUUGCGAUGCUAGUCAUUGCAGUAAUGCACUUAACA
rnacentral:rRNA from 1 species